GCUGUGAGGAGGAGGAGGAGGAGCCACCAAGACAUCAGGGACUAGGAAGGAUCACCCCUCAGCACAAAGCCCAUCAUGGGCCUCCUGCCCCCAAAUCCCGGGACCAGCCUCUCCAGGCCACUGAGACUUUGGGCUGCAGAAGUGUUGGCUCUACUCUGAGAAGUGGUCUGCCAAGGUCACCUGGGAGGUAACCUCGGAACUGGGGGAGAAAGUGUUUUGCUUACCAUUCCACGCUGUCGUCCAUCAUUGUGAGGACAUCAAGGCAGGAACUUCAAAGACCUGGUCGAAUCGCAUCCACAGUCAAGAGCAUAAAAAACUGCUUCACUCGUCUGGAUUUCUCCACUAUUUUGUAGGUGAUGGCGGGUUUCAUCAAGUUGACAUCCGAAGUUAAGCAACAUAGUUUUAUUCACAGCUCCACUUGGUGAAGUUCGUUGCAAAGCGCCUGUUCUCCCAGCCCCGGGGGCCAGGGGCGUUCCAAUCAUUC